UAUCCUUUCACAAAAGAUCAACUGGAAACUAUUAAAUCUUUCUCUGUGGCACGCUGGCUUUGUGACACUACAAGAUAUGAUAAAGUUCGUAGAUACCCAUUUGCUGUACCUGGGAAAAAUAAUCCUGUUACAGCAUGUCUAAAAAUAAAGCCUCUUGACUUAUCAUUGUGGAGAGAGAAACCAUGACUAGAACCAUGACUUAGUGAAGCUAGGGUUAAUAAGAUAAAUGAAAUUAAUUCCAUGUGUAACGAUUUAUCUUUGACAUUUUUAGUGUUCUAUGGUACUGUGAUUCCCAAAUAUUUUUCGACUCCAGAACCCUAUACGAUCAACGUUUUUUCGACGGAAACUCAAUUUCAUAACUAAAGUAUAAAAAGACAAUAGUAAACGUAUUAACCUAUAAAAGUCAGCGUUAUUUUGAUAAUAUUUAUAGAGGAGGAUGGCAUUUUUCAUCGUUUUAUCAUUAACUAUUUUAAAUUAGCUUUUAUAUCAGACAAUUGGUUACUUGCACUGCAAGAAGGAAAAGAUCACUGAUACUCACACAUAUGAUCUAUGACGUCAGCAUCGUUAUAAGCAAAUUGUCGUUUCAAAGUUGAGCUAAUUUUUUCCACACAAGUUAAAAUGUUAAUUAACGAGAAAAAACUGUAUUUCAAAUAAUUUGAUGGAUGAUACAGCACCGUAUUUAAUUAAUUUGAAGUUAAUUAAAUUAAGUGCCGUUUCACACAUCAAAUUUCUUGAAAUAUAGUUCUUUCUCGCCAACGUCUUUUACCUAACUUAGAAUUAUUAUUUGUUUAUGUAUUUUAUUGUAACUGUGUUAUAUUUUUGUUAACUCCGCCUGUUUCUGGCAAACUUUGAUGCAUAAUUAAAUUAAUUAUGUUCCACGUGGCUUCGUGUCUGUCUUUGUGCUACGCAGCUCACCAAAUUCUCCACAGCUGUUAAUUUGGGAGAGAAAAAAUGUCUGGAAUCUGCCAUUGUAUAAUGAUACUGUAUCGCUUUAAAAAAUAAAAUGUUCAGUAAAAUAAAACUACUUAAAAGUGAAAAAAAA